UAUGUCUCUAAAAAGUUUUCAAUUUUUUUUUCUCUUUUUGAAAACUAAUAUUAAAAAUAUAUUUUUAAUGUUCUAAUUUUUAUCACAUUUAUCCCUAGAACCGUUAUUAUUUUCAACUUACUAUUUUAUCAUUUCAAAUAUAUAUUCUUCUGUUGUCGUCAACUUUUCUCAGUUGCCUUUUAAGUUUGUUGCACAAAGCAUUAUAUUAUUUUAUCCUUUCAAAUAUAUAUUCUUCUGUUGUCGCCAACUUUUCUAAGUUGUCUUUAAGUUAAGUG
rnacentral:lncRNA from 1 species